UGUACCUAUCUCAUCUAUAAAUCUGCCAAUCCCUGUGUGCUUACACAAUAUGUAGUGGAAGAGUAGUUGAAUUGCAGAUCUUCAAGCUCUCUGUGCAGCCACAAUUAUUUUAUUAAAAAAAUAAAUUUGUGCUGUGUGUUCCCGGAGACAAGCACAACUGUGUCACUUUACUAACAUUGCAGGUAACAAUGACUUAAGUACAGUAAAAGUAAUGAAGAAAGUAUUUGGAAAGUGGGACAGAGAAGGCGGGGUUAAGACGCAGAAUUCUACAAAACAUUUUAUUUUUGCCAAAAUUAUACAAACGUGAGCAUGCAAAAAUGCUGUCGGUGUUUGGAAUUUCCCUUUAUUAUCUCUAGAGAACAUUACACCCCUGACAAAAGCUGAUACAUGCUUAAAAUAUUUAAAGAUAGAAGCACAAAACUGCAUUGCAAAAUUGCAUAUCCAAAGUAAUAAGGCAGGUAGAACUGUGUAAUUUCUGGAGUAGGUAGGUAGAGAGAUCAACACACACAAAAAAAAAACUCAAUAAGGCAUGGUUCUAAAAACCUUUUCAGUAACAAAAGUCAGGCUAAGUUAAAGCGUCCAUUCACCCGAAAAGGACCAGUUCCACUAAGUAAAGUUUGCAGGGUCAUAUAAGGGGUAAGAAGUAAAGCGCCAAAUACAGAUAAAAGGCUCUACACCAGGUUUUCAAAGUCAACUUACCAUGGUAAGCUUUAACUGGUCAAGUUGUCUUCUCCCAUGCAGCGAUAUACACCCAUACACACUCAGUUGCAAACUUUCAUACAGACACACACAGAUACCCCUUCCCUUGCAGCAACUAUAGUAUAGCUGAGCUCUUGGUGGAGUCUAUGUCCCUAUUUUGUUUGCCCUGGCUACCCUCGUCUCUGAAGUUCUGCAUGCAGAAUGCCAAAUCUUUACUAAUGAGACUUGUUGGAGAACAUAACAAAAGCAAACACUGAUACCAAGUGGCCAGUCUUAAGGACCAUAUAACAGUCCAAGUAAAGAAUAUGUCAUCUGCAUCCUAGGAUUUAGAAAGGGGCUUGGACAAACCUUUCCAUUCCACCACUGCCUCAGUAAAGCUGGGAGAGGUGGCUAAAGGCAUUCUAAAAAUGUGAGGGGUCUACUAAUAGCCCAUGAGCCAUUAGUAUGAGAACACUGUUCUACAACAAGCAAAAGUGUCAUGUCAGCAGUGAGCUAACUCUAAUCUAAGAUUCCACCAUUUAUAAUAAAACCCUCAAAAUCCAUAUGUAUGGUCCAUAGCGAAAGCUUUGUAUCCAGCUCAAGCAGCAAGGUAAAGUUGUGUAAAAAUGGCAGGAAAUAUGACCCAGUAGUAGAAAUCUAUGUAGAUUAUUGUCAGUCAGGUAGUAAUUCAUAGUUAGUGCUUAUUAGGAGAGAGUGUGUGUGUGACAACACAAUGGGUGUUUGAGCACAAUACAUAUAUACCAAAUUCACAAUGUCCUAUCCCUGUGAGGUUUAUUUGCUUAACAGUAAAUGGUGGUCAGGUGACAAGCAAAUGUAAAAAUGAAGGCAAAAUAACUGAGCUGGGUCUCCAGUUGAACUUUUUUUCCUUUUUCUGCUUUUGUUUUUUUUAAAGCUUAGUUUUUGUAGCUUGGUUUUCAGCUUGCUUCAAUGUGUGUAUUUGUAUGUGCUGCAAGUUGGGUGUAUUUAUGUACAGUAAAUACAGUACAAAAGUGUACUGGCAAACAUGAACAUUAGCAUAGUCCAUGUGUGAAUAGAUGGAUGCAUCUCAGUAUAGUGAAAUAGUGUAGCAAGUAAUAGCAAGGGAAACUUAGUAUGUGGUGUCAUGUGUUGUAAGUGUGAAUACAAGGUCCUCUUUAUGUCAGUUUGAAUUAUUGCUUGUAUCUGCAUAGUGUAAGAGAAUACAUGUGUAUAUUUGUGUGUAGUUUCAUUGUCUGUUAAUACAGUUUGUUUAUAUUUGUGCAGAGAGUGCUGUGUGAAUUGCACGAAUGUAGUUAUAGUCUUAUGUGAAAUGUUAGUGUACAUGCAUGCAUGGUUGCAAUUGGGCAAUGUCAGUGUGUAUGAAUAUAUAAUGUAUAUUUAUGGAAUUUUAGUGUGAAUGCAGUGGUCCAUUUGUAUGAAAGGCAAGUAUGUAAGGAUAAAACUUACCAGGAAAGGUUAAAGGAUCUUAACAUGUAUAGCUUGGAGGAAAGACGAGACAGCGGGGAUAUCAUAGAAACAUUUAAAUACAUAAAGGGAAUCAACACAGUAAAGGAGGAGACUAUAUUUAAAAGAAGAAAAACUACCACAACAAGAGGACAUAGUCUUAAAUUAGAGGUGCAAAGGUUUAAAAAUAUCAGGAAGUAUUACUUUACUGAGAGGGUAGUGGAUGACUGGAACAGCCUUCCAGCUUAAGUGGUAGAGGUUAACACAGUGAAGGAGUUUAAGCAUGCGUGGGAUAGGCAUAAGGCUAUCCUAGAUAUAAGAUAAGGCCAGGGACUAAUGAAAGUAUUUAGAAAAUUGUUCAGACUAGAUGGUCUAAAUGGUUCUUAUCUGCCGUCACAUUCUAUACUUCUAAGUCUGUGACUGCAGGGAUGUGUAUGUAUGAAUAGUCAGUGUGUGUGUUUGCAAGGUUUAUAUUUGUGAAUGGUUGUACAAGUUGAGGACAUUAAAGGGAGGAUUACCGCCAGGAAGGGAAGGCCCCAAAGAUAUGCUGGAAAACUGCAAGUAGACCAAGUACACCAGAGAUUUCCCCAAAUAGGCAGACUUUAUUUAGGAACAAGUUAGGCUUGACAAAGGCUCAAAGCUGAAACAUUGUUGUGCACUGCUCCUAGCUAUCUGAGCAAACCUCUAGGUGUGCCUGUGCAUCUUGUAAUUUUCCAGUAUAUUCGUGAUUGGUCAGUAUGUGGGUAUCUGCAGGAGUCUAUAUAUUUGAAUGGAUAAACCAUGCAUGGACUGGCUGUAGGGAAAACUGAACAAAUGCCCUGUGAGCCACGAUAGCCAAGAGCCAAGGCCAGGGAUGGCAGGAGAGAUCAAAGGAGCUUCCUGGCUCAACACUGCAGGACCAAUGGUGCCUGAGUGCCAGCCCAAAGAGGGAACUCUGCAGCCAGUGGGGAGAUCAAAGAUCUCCCUCACCAGCCAACAAUCCCUAAAUACACAUACACAAGCACAACCCGUUUUGACCUGAGUCAAGGUGCAUAACAACGAAUGAUAAUAACAAAUUCACUUAAAUACACACCCAAAGUUUAUUUGAGAAGUCCACUUUCAUUGGGUUUUGCCAAAUAUACAUCAGCAUUCAGUUUUGGCAAAUCUCCAAUAAACAUUCGGUUUAGAGAAUGUCCAAUCGCAUUGAUUGAUUUGGUGAAUCUCCAAUUCUGUCCUUGGGUUUUGUAGAAUAACCAGUGGGGUGAGUUGCUUAAAUCACAUUGUGCUUCUGCUUAUGUGGAUAAUUUUAAGCAUACAUAUAAGAUAUUAUAAUUUUUUUCAAGGGACACUAUAGUCACCAGAACAACUACAGCUUAUUGAAUUUGUUCUGGUGAGUAGAAUCAUUACCUUCAGGCUUUUUUCUGUAAACACUGUCUUUUCAGAGAAAAUGCAGUGUUUACAUUACAGCUUAGUGAUAACUCCACUGGCCACUCCUCAGAUGGCUGUUAGAGAUCCUUUCUGCCUAAAAUGCUUCACAACAUUCAGUGUCUCCACCCUCUGCAUGCAGACACUGAACUUUCCUCAUAGAGAUGCAUUGAUUUAAUUCACCUCUAUUAGGAGAUGCUGAUUGGCCAGGGCUGUGUUUGAAUCAUGCUGGCUCUGCCCCUGAUCUGCCUCUUUGUCAGUCUCAGCCACUCCUAUGGGGAAGCAUUGUGAUUGGAUCAGGCUACCACUUCUGAUGAUGUCAACAGGCAGUGGGCAGGUCAAAAGCAAACAGGGACAAAACAAGCAGCUCCAGACUUGAAUACAAGUAAGAUUUUACUAUAUUUAGGGAGGCAAGAGGGGCCAGGGGGGUUAGAUGGUGGUUACAACACUAUACGGUCAGGAAUACAUGUUACUUUAAUUUUAACCACCUACUGUCUGUGUCUCACCUCAUAACCCACAUUGGAAUAUUGAGGAAAAUUCAUAAGACACUUACG
rnacentral:lncRNA from 1 species